UACGUAGGGGGGCAAGCGUUGUCCGGAAUUAUUGGGCGUAAAGCGCGCGCAGGCGGUCAAUUAAGUUGGGUGUUUAAGCCCGGGGCUCAACCCCCGGUACGCAUCCAAAAACUGGUUGACUUGAGUGUAGGAGAGGAAAAGUGGAAUUCCACGUGUAGCGGUGAAAUGCGUAGAGAUGUGGAGGAACACCAGUGGCGAAGGCGACUUUCUGGCCUAUAACUGACGCUGAGGCGCGAAAGCGUGGGGAGCAAACAGG
rnacentral:rRNA from 1 species